UACGAAGGGGGGCUAGCGUUGUUCGGAAUUACUGGGCGUAAAGCGCACGUAGGCGGACAUUUAAGUCAGGGGUGAAAUCCCGGGGCUCAACCCCGGAACGGCCUUUGAUACUGGGUGUCUUGAGUUCGGAAGAGGUGAGUGGAAUUGCGAGUGUAGAGGUGAAAUUCGUAGAUAUUCGCAGGAACACCAGUGGCGAAGGCGGCUCACUGGUCCCUUUACUGACGCUGAGGCGCGAAAGCGUGGGGAGCAAACAGG
rnacentral:rRNA from 1 species